UACGUAGGGAGCAAGCGUUGUCCGGAUUCACUGGGUGUAAAGGGUGCGUAGGCGGGAGAAUAAGUCAGCGGUGAAAUCUUACGGCUCAACCGUGAAACUGCCGUUGAUACUGUUUUUCUUGAGUUCGGGAGAGGUUGAUGGAAUUCCAGGUGUAGCGGUGAAAUGCGUAGAUAUCUGGAGGAACACCGGUGGCGAAGGCGGCAUCCUGGACCGGCAUUGACGCUGAGGCGCGAAAGCCAGGGGAGCAAACGGG
rnacentral:rRNA from 1 species